rnacentral:rRNA from 1 species
AUUGAACGCUGGCGGCAUGCCUUACACAUGCAAGUCGAACGGUAACAGGUCUUCGGAUGCUGACGAGUGGCGAACGGGUGAGUAAUACAUCGGAACGUGCCUAGUAGUGGGGGAUAACUACUCGAAAGAGUGGCUAAUACCGCAUGAGAUCUACGGAUGAAAGCAGGGGAUCGCAAGAACUUGUGCCACUAGAGGGGCCGAUGGCAGAUUAGGUAGUUGGUGGGAUAAAAGCUUACCAAGCCGACGAUCUGUAGCUGGUCUGAGAGGACGAUCAGCCACACUGGGACUGAGACACGGCCCAGACUCCUACGGGAGGCAGCAGUGGGGAAUUUUGGACAAUGGGCGAAAGCCUGAUCCAGCAAUGCCGCGUGCAGGAUGAAGGCCUUCGGGUUGUAAACUGCUUUUGUACGGAACGAAAAGCCCUGGGUUAAUACCCUGGGGUCAUGACGGUACCGUAAGAAUAAGCACCGGCUAACUACGUGCCAGCCGCCGCGGUAA